UUGUUAUUUCCAAAAUCUCUUUUGUUAUUCCAAGUUUCCAACACAUAUAUGGCAGUGAACCAUGCUAUCUCUUUCUCACUCACUUCAAGAACUUUCCCAUGUAAGAGAACACCGAACCCUCAGAAAAAAAAAGAACACCGAACCCUUUUCUAUCUCCUCCUUCCUCUCAUUUACCCCAAAAUGUCACCAUCGACUUUCCCAUCUCAUCACUCCCCUUCACCUAUUCCCUCCGUUACGUCUUCACCCUCGCCGUCAUCGAAUCUACCGGCACCUUCUGCGCCAGAAGCUUCAUUUGUUCUUCUCCGUGUGCCAGAUCGAUGAGCGUGAUAUGACUUUGUGGUUUUGAAGUUAAUUCACGGUUUUGGAGAUUCAAUUUCAAUUUUGAUUUGAUUUCAACUUUGCUUCCAAUCAGUUUUCAUUGAGCAUGCCAAAUGGAAUCCAUGAUUUUGGUUUGUUUGCUUCAAACCAAAAUCAUGGAGCUUAUACUGGAGAAUGAUUUGCAUAACUUCUUCACUAUGGUUUGGAGCUUAUCAGUCAUCAUAUUAUCGGAUGGAUCGAUGAUGCUGAUGGAAUGUGGUGCAAAGGAUUAGGGAUGCAAGGUUCAUUGGUUCCUUAACGGAUAUCCAUGUUUGAAAACAAACAAGGAAGUGUAUGAGUAUGUGGGUAUGAGAUGUUUAGUGCAAAACUAUUGACAUUGGUCACUUUGGACAGAGGAGCUAGGUUUGGAAGAUUGUGAGAUGAAGAUAUGGCUAAAAUUUGAGACGAUACCUAAUGUUUUAGUUGAUAGUAGCAUGUAAAAUGCGGGACUAUGUUCAAUCUUUUAUACAAUUCAUCUGGAUUUUACAAUGCAAGGAUUUUACAUUGCAAAUUAAAUGGAAGCUUUGAUAAGAUUCUAAAUGUCCUUGAGGUGCAUGUUAGGAUGAUUUUGUUUACAAUAUUGUAACUGCAUUAAGUUAUUUUUUAAAAGUGUGAUAGGUUUGAAAACAUUGGUACCAAUCAAGAUGAUGAUGAUACUAAUGUAACGUCAAAAGGUGUAUGUUUUAUGUAUGAUUUCCAAAAGAAAAUUGAUGAGAAGAUGUUUAUAAUAAGAUGUUGUAAAUGAGUGAUAAUCCUUGCCUCUGUCAAAUUCAUCUUUUAAA